AGCAGCAGCAGGAGCAGUUUGGGACAGAGGAGAUAGCACAUUGCCAAAAAGGGGCUCGGGACUCUAAGGAGAGAUGGAGACCAAGGAGAGACAUUCUUCAGGGAGGCGGCAUCCGGUGGAGUUGACGUGCUCAAGACGAAGCAUCAGACACACCUGGAGCUAUUCCCAGCCCGGCCAUUUACAAGUCCUGGGACCCGGAAUGGACAACGUGGCUGUUGAGUGGACAACCAAGAGCAUCUUAUAACUCCACCCUCUGGGUCGCCUCCUGCCUAGAAUUGUUUCUUCUAACAUUUAUGAAGACUUGGGUUCCAGGCACCAAAGCUAAGCAUUCCAAGACAUCACCUUGCUUAGUCUUCACAUCAACAUUACGAGGUUACUUUCACCUAUUGCUUCUGGAGGAUGAGAAUUCUGUAUUCAUUAUCUAAUCCUGGACAUCUUUUCCCAACUCUGUGUUCAGUGACACAGCAGCAGCUUGAUGGUGAUCUUCUCCUGGCUCCCCGAUCCAGGACUGACUCCUCUUCCUGUCCACUUCCAUCAAUACACAUGCCUUCAAAAGGCAGGAGGAAGGGAGGCACAGGGUGGAGGCUGCAAUGGCCAGAGAAGCAGGUCGGGCAUGGAGCUAAAUCAUAAUAAGGAUCAUUCAUUCAUUCGUUCAUUCCACAAAUGUUCUCCCAGGGCCCACUGUGCGCCUGGCAGGCUUCUACAGCCAGCACCAGCUAGAAAACUGGCCUUGCUCAAUGCAAAGUGACGAUAUGAGAUUCAUUGUCCAAAAGCUGUUAGGAGCUUCACAACGGUGGCACAGAGCAUUAAACCAACUGCGGGAUCCUUCUGAGCAGGGACCCCUUCUCAGCCCUUCUGAGCCCAGCCCAGUAGCAUGGUUGUGGGGUUUGGGGAUAUGGUCAUGAACACAUCUGAACAGACAUGCCUGCCUUCAGGGGACCUCACAGUUUGAUGGAGAGAGUUGUUGUUGUUCAGUCACUAAGUCGUGUCCAACUCUUUGCGACCCCAUGAACUGCAGCACACCAGGCUUCCCUGUCUUUCACUAUCUCUCAGAGUUUGCUCAAACUCAUAUCCAUCUAGUUGGUGAUGGCAUAUAACCAUCUUAUCCUCUGUUGCCCUCUUCUUUUGUCUUCAAUCUUUCCCAGCAUCAGGGUCUUUUCCAAUGAGUCGGCUCUUCACAUCAGGUAGACAAAGUAUUGGAGCUUCAGCUUCAGCAUCAGUCCUUGCAAUGAAUAUUCAGAGUUGGUUUCCUUUAGGAUUGACUGGUUGGACCUCCUGGCAGUCCAAGGGCCUCUCAAGAGUGUUUUCCAGCACCACAGUUCAAAGCAUCCAUUCUUAGGCACUCAGCCUUCUUUAUGGUCCAGCUCUCACAUUCAUACAUGACUACUGGAAAAACCAUAGCUUUGACUAUAUGCAUCUUUGUUGACAAAGUGAUGUCUCUGUUCUUUAAUAUGCUGAGCACCAAAGAAUUGAUGCCUUAGAACUGUGGUGCUAGAGAAGACUCUUGAGGGGCCUUUGGACAGCAAGGAGAUCAAAGCAGUCAAUUCUAAAGGAAACCAACCCUGAAUAUUCAUUGGAAGGACUGAUGCUGAAGUUGAAGUUCCAAUACUUUGGCCAGCUAAUGCAAAGAGCGGACUCAUUAGAAAAAACUUUGAUGCUAGGAAAGAUUGAAGGCAAGAGAAGAGGAUGACAGAGGAUGGGAUGGUUGGAUGGCAUCACCAACUCAGUAGACAUGAGUUUGAGUAAACUCUGGGAGAUGGUGAAGGGCAGGGAAACCUGACGUGCUACAGUCCAUGGGGUUGCAGAGAGUCGGACACAACUGAGCAACUGGUCAACCACAACAACACACUGUCUAGGUUUGUUACUGCUUUCCUUCCAAGGAGCAAGUGCCCUUUAAUCUCGUGGCUAUAGUCACCAUCUGCAGUGAUUUUGGAGCCCAAGAAUAUAAAAUCUUUCACUGUUUCCACUUUUUUCCCCUUAUAUUUGCCAUAAAGUGAUGGGAUGGAGAAAGACAGUUGAUAAAUGGUAAACAAAAUGGAUUAGCAAAUUGGCUAGUUCAUAAGAGGAGAACAAGUGUAAUAACAAAAAGAAAAAAAAAAUAGAGGAUGGUAAGAGGAUGGAGAAGGGUCAGAGGAUUAGAUGGACACUGGAAGAGGUCUUGGGAUGGUGAGAUUCAGGCAAAGAGUUGAGGGAGGUGAGGGAGUGAGACUUCUAGGUGAGGAAACAGCCAGUGCAAAGGCCCUGUGGUAGAGGUGUAUCCAACCUGUUCAAAUAGAGGUGGAGGUUAGAGUGCCUAGAGUGAAGUAAAGGGGGAGAGGAGGAGAUGGAGGCCCAAGAACUAAGUGGGAUGGAGAGGUGCUGGGUGAAUCAGGUAGGGUCUUGUUGGCCAUUAUGAAGACCACGACUUUUGCUCAGGGAGUGACACUGAAGGGCUGUGAGCAGAGGCGGGGAUGCAUUAAGAGAAUCACUCAGAAAGCUGUAUUGGGACUAGACAGUAGACAGGAAAACAUGGAUGCAAGGAGGCCCAUGAAGAGUCUACCCCUAGGCUCUGUGGCCCCCAUGGUCUCUGUUAUAUCUACCUACCUUUGUGAUUACAGCACAAAAUCAGCCAUGCCGAAACAAAUGGGCCUGGCUGUCCUCCAAUAAAAC